UCUGUGCCUACUAUUUAUCUUUUGGUUCUAAAGAAAAAGAACUUGCCAGCCCUGGAAACUGAAGCUUAUUAACACAGUUUAAGGUGACCCACCUUUGUCUUCGGCCUUACCACCAUUUGGAGGGGAAGGAAGGAUAUCAAAUGAUAUCAGUGCAAAAUGUGGUGGUGGUGGUGGAGGAAUGGAGGAAAGCAAUAUGCAAGACAAUAUCGCUUCAUGCACAUUAUUUCUCAUGGGAUCAAAGCUCCUGUCUGAAUGGCCUCCAUAAACAAAGGAGAAGGCUUGCUUCCUUUCAAACUGAAGAGGGAGCUGAACCUCAGUCUGCAUCUCCUUAG
rnacentral:lncRNA from 1 species